rnacentral:rRNA from 1 species
GACGAGCCACCCAAACGUUAUUCGGAAUUACUGGGCUUAAAGGGUGCGUAGGCGGAUUAUUAAGUCAGUGGUGAAAGCCUGCAGCUUAACUGCAGAACUGCCAUUGAUACUGAUGAUCUUGAGUAUGAUUGAGGUGGGCGGAAUGUGUCAUGUAGCGGUGAAAUGCUUAGAUAUGACACAGAACACCGAUUGCGAAGGCAGCUCACUAAGCCAUAACUGACGCUGAUGCACGAAAGCGUGGGGAGCAAACAGG